rnacentral:rRNA from 1 species
UACGUAGGGGGCAAGCGUUGUCCGGAUUUAUUGGGCGUAAAGAGCGUGUAGGCGGCCAUACAGGUCCGUUGUGAAAACUGGAGGCUUAACCUCCAGACGUCGAUGGAAACCGUAUGGCUAGAGUCCGGAAGAGGAGAGUGGAAUUCCUGGUGUAGCGGUGAAAUGCGCAGAUAUCAGGAAGAACACCGGUGGCGAAGGCGGAUCUCUGGGCCUUACCUGACGCUGAGGCGCGAAAGCGUGGGUAGCAAACAGG